UACGUAGGGUGCAAGCGUUGUCCGGAAUUAUUGGGCGUAAAGAGCUCGUAGGCGGUUUGUCACGUCGGAUGUGAAACCCUGAGGCUCAACCUCAGGCCUGCAUUCGAUACGGGCAGACUAGAAUUCGGCAGGGGAGACUGGAAUUCCUGGUGUAGCGGUGAAAUGCGUAGAUAUCGUAAGGAAGACCAGUGGCGAAGGCGGGUCUCUGGACAGUUCCUGACGCUGAGGCACGAAGGUCAGGGGAGCAAACGGG
rnacentral:rRNA from 1 species